UACAGAGGUCUCAAGCGUUGUUCGGAUUCAUUGGGCGUAAAGGGCGCGUAGGCGGCGGGGUAAGUCGGGUGUGAAAUCUCAGAGCUCAACUCUGAAACUGCACUCGAUACUGCUCUGCUUGAGGACUGGAGAGGAGACUGGAAUUCACGGUGUAGCAGUGAAAUGCGCAGAUAUCGGGAGGAACACCGAUGGCGAAGGCAGCACUCUGGACGAACACUGACGCUGAGACGCGAAAGCGUGGGUAGCAAACAGG
rnacentral:rRNA from 1 species